GAUGAAGAACGUAGCGAAAUGCGAUAAUUAAUGUGAAUUGCAGAAUUCAGUGAAUCAUCGAAUCUUUGAACGCACAUUGCGCCCGCUGGUAUUCCGGCGGGCAUGCCUGUUCGAGCGUCAUUUCAACCCUCAAGCCCCCGGGUUUGGUGUUGGGGAUCGGCUCUGCCCUUCUGGGCGGUGCCGCCCCCGAAAUACAUUGGCGGUCUCGCUGCAGCCUCCAUUGCGUAGUAGCUAACACCUCGCAACUGGAACGCGGCGCGGCCAUGCCGUAAAACCCCAACUUCUGAAUGUUGACCUCGGAUCAGGUAGGAAUACCCGCUGAACUUAAGCAUAUCAAUAAGCGGAGGA
rnacentral:misc_RNA from 1 species